rnacentral:rRNA from 1 species
UACAGAGGUCUCAAGCGUUGUUCGGAUUCAUUGGGCGUAAAGGGUGCGUAGGCGGCGCGGUAAGUCGGGUGUGAAAUCUCGGGGCUUAACUCCGAAACUGCAUUCGAUACUGCCGUGCUUGAGGACUGGAGAGGAGACUGGAAUUUACGGUGUAGCGGUGGAAUGCGUAGAGAUCCGGAAGAACACCGGUGGCGAAGGCGGCCUGCUGGGACAUGGCUGACGCUGAAGGCGCGACAGCGUGGGGAGCAAACAGG